rnacentral:rRNA from 1 species
GUCUAUGACCACACCACUCUGAACUCACCCCAUCUCAUCUAAUCUUAGAAGCUAAGCAGGGUCCAGCUGGUUAGUACUGGGAUGGGAGGCUGCCUGGGAAUACUGGGUGCCGUAGGCU